GACGAACGCUGGCGGCGCGCCUAACACAUGCAAGUCGAACGAGCGAGAGAGAGCUUGCUUUCUUGAGCGAGUGGCGAACGGGUGAGUAACGCGUGAGGAACCUGCCUCAAAGAGGGGGACAACAGCUGGAAACGACUGCUAAUGCCGCAUAAGCCCACGACCCGGCAUCGGGUUGAGGGAAAAGGAGCAAUCCGCUUUGAGAUGGCCUCGCGUCCGAUUAGCUAGUUGGUGAGGUAACGGCCCACCAAGGCGACGAUCGGUAGCCGGACUGAGAGGUUGAACGGCCACAUUGGGACUGAGACACGGCCCAGACUCCUACGGGAGGCAGCAGUGGGGAAUAUUGCACAAUGGGGGAAACCCUGAUGCAGCGACGCCGCGUGGAGGAAGAAGGUCUUCGGAUUGUAAACUCCUGUUGUUGAGGAAGAUAAUGACGGUACUCAACAAGGAAGUGACGGCUAACUACGUG
rnacentral:rRNA from 1 species